rnacentral:rRNA from 1 species
UAGGGAAUCUUCCACAAUGGCGAAAGCCUGAUGGAGCAACGCCGCGUGUGUGAUGAAGGGUUUCGGCUCGUAAACACUGUUGUAAGAGAAGAAUGACAUUGAGAGUAACUGUUCAAUGUGUGACGGUAUCUUACCAGAAAGGAACGGCUAAAUACGUGCCAG